rnacentral:rRNA from 1 species
CCUACGGGAGGCAGCAGUGGGGAAUAUUGGGCAAUGGAGGCAACUCUGACCCAGCAACGCCGCGUGAAUGAUGAAGGUCUUCGGAUUGUAAAGUUCUGUGAUGGGGGAUGAACACAAUGACGGUACCCCAAUAGCAAGCCACGGCUAACUACGUGCCAGCAGCCGCGGUAAUACGUAGGUGGCAAGCGUUAUCCGGAAUGACUGGGCGUAAAGGGUGCGUAGGUGGUUUAGUAAGUUGGCGGUGUAAUUCCGGGGCUCAACCUGGGCGCUACCGCCAAAACUAGUAGACUAGAGUGCAGGAGGGGUGAGUAGAAUUCCUAGUGUAGCGGUGGAAUGCGUAGAGAUGAGGAGGAACAUCAGGGGCGAAGGCGACUUCCUGGACAGUAACUGACGCUGAGGUGCGAAAGCGUGGGGAGCAAACAGGAUUAGAUACCCCGGUAGUC